rnacentral:rRNA from 1 species
AUGAACGCUGGCGGCGUGCCUAAUACAUGCAAGUCGAGCGAACAGACGAGGAGCUUGCUCCUCUGACGUUAGCGGCGGACGGGUGAGUAACACGUGGAUAACCUACCUAUAAGACUGGGAUAACUUCGGGAAACCGGAGCUAAUACCGGAUAAUAUAUUGAACCGCAUGGUUCAAUAGUGAAAGACGGUUUUGCUGUCACUUAUAGAUGGAUCCGCGCCGCAUUAGCUAGUUGGUAAGGUAACGGCUUACCAAGGCAACGAUGCGUAGCCGACCUGAGAGGGUGAUCGGCCACACUGGAACUGAGACACGGUCCAGACUCCUACGGGAGGCAGCUGUAGGGAAUCUUCCGCAAUGGGCGAAAGCCUGACGGAGCAACGCCGCGUGAGUGAUGAAGGUCUUCGGAUCGUAAAACUCUGUUAUUAGGGAAGAACAAAUGUGUAAGUAACUAUGCACGUCUUGACGGUACCUAAUCAGAAAGCCACGGCUAACUACGUG